CAAUAGCGUAUAUUUAAGUUGCUGCAGUUAAAAAGCUCGUAGUUGGAUUUCGGGUGGGAAUGGCCGGUCCGCCGUUUCGGUGUGCACUUGCUACGCCCACCUUGCUGCCGGGGACGUGCUCUUGAGUUCACGCUCGGGACACGGAGUCGGCGAGGUUACUUUGAGUAAAUUAGAGUGUUCAAAGCAGGCCUACGCUCUGAAUACAUUAGCAUGGAAUAACACGAUAGGACUCUGGCCUAUCUUGUUGGUCUGUAGGACCGGAGUAAUGAUUAAGAGGGACAGUCGGGGGCAUUCGUAGUUCAUUGUCAGAGGUGAAAUUCUUGGAUUUAUGAAAGACGAACUACUGCGAAAGCAUUUGCCAAGGAUGUUUUCAUUAA
rnacentral:rRNA from 1 species